GCGCCGAUAGUGUAGUGGUUUAGAAUCCCACCUGCAGGCUGGGAGUGCGGGUUCAGGUCCCGCUCGGCGUU
rnacentral:tRNA from 1 species